GAUACUAGUAGCAAGGUCGAGUAGUAGCACUGAUGUGCUCCUUGACAUGUAAUGCGUUACCUCAGCCAUGGAGUAUCACCACAUGUUUAAAACGUGGUUCCGUUGCUAAAAUGCAAUUACAAUGAGGGCGUGUCAAGGAGUUAGUACAGUGUGUACAGUACAGCUGUGUCAAUGAGGUUUAUUCUAAGUGUUUGCUAACAGACUUUAGCAUUAAUCACUGACUGAUUCGCUAGCUGACAGGAGUUAAUUACCAGUUACCAUGAGUUCCGCUCCAAAUCACCGUACCGUGAACGUCACGGAGACAGAGUCCAGCAAGCCCGUGUCUGCUGUCUCUUUAGCCGGACAUGUCAAGCAGGUCUUGGGCCAUGUGAAGAUAGAAAACCUGGUCGCGGGACUCAGUGGAGGUGUGGUGUCAACAAUGGUGCUUCACCCUCUGGACCUGGUCAAAAUCAGGUUUGCAGUGAGUGAUGGCUUGGAUUUGAGACCUAAGUACAGUGGCAUAAUGCACUGUAUGAAGAGUGUGUGGCAGCAGGAGGGACUACGAGGACUCUACCAAGGAGUGACACCCAAUAUUUGGGGUGCUGGAGCAUCUUGGGGUCUCUACUUCUUUUUCUACAAUGCAAUCAAAGGGUACACGAAGGAGGGCCGUCAAACGGAGCUGACUGCAACAGAACACCUGGUGUCUGCUGCCGAAGCAGGCAUCAUAACCCUCACCAUAACCAACCCGAUCUGGGUGACCAAGACCCGGCUGGUGCUGCAGUACAACGCUGACCCCAGCAGUAAACAGUACAAGGGGAUGGUAGAUGCUCUGAUCAAGAUCUACCGCUAUGAGGGAGUGGCAGGACUCUACAAGGGUUAUGUUCCUGGUCUGUUCGGAACAUCUCACGGAGCGCUGCAGUUCAUGGCCUAUGAAGAGCUGAAGAGAGACUACAACAAAUACAGGAAAGCGCCUUCAGAUGCGAAGCUGAGCGCAUGGGAGUACAUCACAAUGGCGGCUUUAUCCAAAAUAUUUGCUGUGGCCACAACAUACCCGUAUCAGGUGGUGCGAGCCCGCCUGCAAGACCAGCACAACACAUACAAUGGAGUUAUUGAUGUCGUCAGACGGACAUGGAGGAACGAAGGCGCCAUCGGUUUCUACAAAGGCAUCAUCCCCAACGUGAUCCGUGUCACUCCUGCCUGCUGCAUCACCUUUGUGGUUUACGAGAAUGUCUCUCGCUACCUUCUGGGAAAAAGCUAAUAAGGCUCACAAUCAUGGCAUGGACAGCUUUAAAGACUCACACUGACUUUGGUGCCAUUCAUAAAAACAGAGAAUAUGAAAAUAUUGCGUAACGGAUUCAACAUUGGAUUAUCAGAUGCAUGACAAGCUUUCAUUCUGGGCAAAUGAAGUGAGGAUUUUUUUACGAGAAGAGUUUGAUAAAUAUUUCAACAUUGGCAGCAGGAAAGGAUGACAUGUAAACAAGCUAAUGUGAAGUCUUCUCAGUGUUCCAGUUGCAUGUGUGUGUAAUAUUAGUUAUGUUGCUUUUAAAUUAUAUAUUUUUGUUUACACAGCAGCAGAUCAUUUUUGUUCCAAAAACACCAAUUCAAUCAUCCCAUAAUUCAUUUGUUUUCUGGCAAAAAAUUGUAACUGCAUUUCUUUCUAACAUUUUACUAUAACAUCAAGAAUGCUUUAUCUGCAUUGUCAUGUAUAUGAAUACAGUAUAUAUAGUAAUGUCUUACUAUAUUGAAUAAAAGCAGAGAAUUCAUAGUUCCUAGACUUGAAAAGUAGUCAAAAAGUUGAGUUUAAUUAUUUAAAAAAUAUCACUUUAUUAACAGUAAUAAUGAAUAUAAACAUGUCACAUGAGUACAUAGUUUAAAUAUUGUCAAUGACCGUUGAACGCUUACCAACAGCACCCAUAAGCUGAAAAGCUACAGUACAAAGUUUAUUUCUGGUAGACAGAAUGACACAGUAUUCGUUGUUAUGGGCCUGUCAUCUAGUAUGGUAUUUUAAGAAAAUAAAAAAAACCAUUCAAGUUACCAUCAUUGAUGCUGUGGCGCCUCAGCAAACCAUACCUGAUAGUUUUGGAGGGCCAGAUAACAUACUGUCACAGUACCAGGACUGGUGCCUCCCUUACAUGUAACUUUUUCAUUUAUUUGGGCAGCUCCUCAAUGAUAACCCUGGAUACUGAAUUCCACCCUGUAGACGCGUCACCUCUGGGAUAGUCGUCGCAGGUCCCCACCCACACGGCCACAUCCACCAGCCCUCCUUUGACACCCUCGCACAGCCCUUCAACUGGAGGGGGAGAAAGAAGACAGUUAAAAUUAAUUUCAGGGAACACCCAAACUGUCUCCAGAGAUGGGACUUGUUAAUUGUUUGGUUUCCUGACAUGGUGGUGAACUUUUCAAAUUGGAGUGUAACUUUAUUUUAAAGAUUGGUGACCAGACUUUACAACUGCAGUUAAAUAACCACUUGAAGGAAUAUCUUGGCAUUUUGUGGGUUUAGAUGUAUUGCUGUCUUGCCUAGAUUUUGAUUGGAUAAUUAAUACCACUCUCAUAUCUGUUGAGCUACAAACAGCAGCCUGUUAGCUUAGCAUAAGGACAUAGGGAACACCUAGCUCAGUGUUUCUGAAAGUAACAGAAAUGAAUUAAAGAAGUACUUUUUUUAUAAAAGGGA